GAUGAACGCUGGCGGCGUGCCUAAUACAUGCAAGUCGAGCGAACGGACGAGAAGCUUGCUUCUCUGAUGUUAGCGGCGGACGGGUGAGUAACACGUGGAUAACCUACCUAUAAGACUGGGAUAACUUCGGGAAACCGGAGCUAAUACCGGAUAAUAUUUUGAACCGCAUGGUUCAAAAGUAAAAGACGGUCUUGCUGUCACUUAUAGAUGGAUCCGCGCUGCAUUAGCUAGUUGGUAAGGUAACGGCUUACCAAGGCAACGAUGCAUAGCCGACCUGAGAGGGUGAUCGGCCACACUGGAACUGAGACACGGUCCAGACUCCUACGGGAGGCAGCAGUAGGGAAUCUUCCGCAAUGGGCGAAAGCCUGACGGAGCAACGCCGCGUGAGUGAUGAAGGUCUUCGGAUCGUAAAACUCUGUUAUUAGGGAAGAACAUAUGUGUAAGUAACUGUGCACAUCUUGACGGUACCUAAUCAGAAAGCCACGGCUAACUACGUGCCAGCAGCCGCGGUAAUACGUANGUGGCAAGCGUUAUCCGGAAUUAUUGGGCGUAAGCGCGCGUAGCGGUUUUUUAGUCUGAUGUGAAAGCCCACGGCUCAACCGUGGAGGGUCAUUGGAAACUGGAAAACUUGAGUGCAGAAGAGGAAAGUGGAAUUCCAUGUGUAGCGGUGAAAUGCGCAGAGAUAUGGAGGAACACCAGUGGCGAAGGCGACUUUCUGGUCUGUAACUGACGCUGAUGUGCGAAAGCGUGGGGAUCAAACAGGAUUAGAUACCCUGGUAGUCCACGCCGUAAACGAUGAGUGCUAAGUGUUAGGGGGUUUCCGCCCCUUAGUGCUGCAGCUAACGCAUUAAGCACUCCGCCUGGGGAGUACGACCGCAAGGUUGAAACUCAAAGGAAUUGACGGGGACCCGCACAAGCGGUGGAGCAUGUGGUUUAAUUCGAAGCAACGCGAAGAACCUUACCAAAUCUUGACAUCCUUUGACAACUCUAGAGAUAGAGCCUUCCCCUUCGGGGGACAAAGUGACAGGUGGUGCAUGGUUGUCGUCAGCUCGUGUCGUGAGAUGUUGGGUUAAGUCCCGCAACGAGCGCAACCCUUAAGCUUAGUUGCCAUCAUUAAGUUGGGCACUCUAAGUUGACUGCCGGUGACAAACCGGAGGAAGGUGGGGAUGACGUCAAAUCAUCAUGCCCCUUAUGAUUUGGGCUACACACGUGCUACAAUGGACAAUACAAAGGGCAGCGAAACCGCGAGGUCAAGCAAAUCCCAUAAAGUUGUUCUCAGUUCGGAUUGUAGUCUGCAACUCGACUACAUGAAGCUGGAAUCGCUAGUAAUCGUAGAUCAGCAUGCUACGGUGAAUACGUUCCCGGGUCU
rnacentral:rRNA from 1 species